rnacentral:lncRNA from 1 species
CUAAGAAAGCUUGACAUCCAUUUUUCAAUAAACGAAUGGCUUUAAGGCUUGAUAUGACAGUGAUUGAUUUUAGUAGUUUGGUUGUUUGAAUUCGUAUAAUAGGUUGAUUAGGAAUAUGAAAACUAGCAACCUUACGAAAAUAAUCAAUUUUAGCAUGAUGAGUGAUUAACAAUUCAAUCCCUAAAAUCACAUCAAAUUCAAG